GCAAUCUGUACAGAAUGAAUUCCCUCAUAAUUAACCCACAUAUUUUGCAGAUGAGAUGCAAAAGCACCACUCAAGACCAUGCAGAAUUCUGUGACAAGGAUAAAAUCCAGGUUUCCUGAACGUCAGAUUUGUCUGAAGGCUCCUUCUCCUUGCUGGCUGCAGCAAAAGAGGGAUGCAUGUCCUAUUGAAACCCAACUGUGAGCAAAAGAUGCUGCUCUGAAAACUGUCAGCUGUCCUACUUGCAGAACCCAAACUAAAAAAAUAAGACUCUGUAAACUGUUUUUCUUCUCAGAUGUUGAAGGAACUACAGGCCAAAUUCAGCUGCAUAAAUGAGGUCUAUUACAGAACUGUCAAAGGUGUCUACUCUCUCCUUAGCCUACUGCAAUUGAUGGCUAACAUGUCUGCAGCUGGAUGAAGACACAUGAAAAUACUUUGAAGAUCACGAUCUGUUUUGGAUGGCCUUCUCUGCAGUGAAGGGAACGGACAGAAUUCUGUAAUUCAUAGUCUGGAGGAUGAAGAGGGUGUUUGCUGAUGAGGCUGAGGCAGAAGAGGGAAGAGGCAAGAGUUAAAAAGAGCAGUGGAAAGAGCUACCACUUCUGUAAGAGUAAACACAUCCAGUGACGUGGAUAACGAGCGUGUGUGAGGUGCCCACAGCCAUGGAAGCAAACACAGGAAUAAUAAAUUACACACUACGAGAUUAAACACAAUGGUCUCUUUAAGGGCCGAGUGCAGUGGUGCCAAGCUCCCGGCACAGGGCUGCCGACUUCACUCCUCUCAGCCAGCUCCACAAUGAAUGAACGCUCGAGGAAAAGGUUCAACCAACCGUAAGCUCAAAGAAUUUCUGCUGCAUCCCUCAGAGGUGCAGUAUGAGGAUACUGAUCCCUGCUCCGUGCUUGGCUGCUGAGGCGUAUUGUUUUGUUCUGCUUUGUCUUGUUUUUUAAUAUUGCUUCCUGUGCGUAGAGUUUAUGUGCAAACAGAACUGGGAAAAUCGCCUCUGCUCUUCACUAAAAGAGGGUGGGACCCUUUUUUCUAUUAUUGGACAAACUGUUUCUUAAAAUGAGAAACAGCUUCUCUCCUAUGUUUAGCAAGCUUGGGAGUAGGAAGGGAGGAACAAAGGAAGGAAAGGUGGGGGCAAAUGUCUGCGAACAAACCAGUAGCUUAGUUUUGGUUGGAUCACUUUUAGUUACCCAUCACAUAAUAUUUUUGAUAACAGAUUCCCAUGUUUUAGAUUUCUUAAAAAUGAAUGACUGCUAUUCUAAAGUAAGCUUAAGUAUUUACAUACCCUUGUAGGGCUGCACUAGGCCCAACAGUAAUGAUCUGCCUGUGAGACAAAAGAACCAAGCUGAAAACCCUGUAAAAAGUGAGCUUUAUUCUGAGAUACAUGGUUUGCCUACAAGCAGAACUGGUAGAAGAGAGGGAAAUUUCAGCUCUGUUGUGUCUUCUGACAGAAGGGUUUCAGUGCCAGAGCCAUUGGGCAGUUUAACUUUGGUUCUUUUCAGCUCCCAUCUCCUUUUCUAUUUCUCAGUGUCACUGCCCCUGAAAUAAAGCAUUCAUUGUGCUGUGUUGGCCAGGAAAGCAACUCUUGAGGCACAGUAGGUAACAGGUUUAUCUAUAACAAGCAACUUAUCACAAAGGCUACUUAAUAGAAGCUGACAGAGGUCACUGAAUAAGACAUUCAGCUUUGAAAAAUGUCUUUUGCUGGUCUGCUCAAACCUGGAAGAAGGCAGUAUGAACAGCAAAGGCAGUACCUGGUACACACAAAGCUGCACUGGCAUGUUCUUAGACAUGUCCCUGUUGGCAGUGACAUGGGGAGUGGACUACGAAACAGCACCGCUUGGCCAUAACAGCCUCCAUCCACGCGCAGACCUGAAACAACUCAUUGCCAGCAACAAGCUGUGUGCAGACUCUUGCUUCUUCUCUCAAGAUGAUGUCUCUCUCUGCUACACAGAGAAGGCAGGAAAUGCUACCACAGCACGUAUGAGAGCCUCUGCACCAGCAGGGUGUUGCAGCUGCUGCAGCUUCAGCAGGGGAAAUGCCCUGAGCAUCCAAGUCAGCCUGCGCCCGGCUCUGGGAACUCUGAGCUGUCAGCUCUCAGCUGACAACAAAAUAAGGAGCCCGGUUGCAAAUGUUCAGCAUGGUAAUGCUUCAGUUCACUCCUCAGGCAAAGACCAUAGUUCUACUUUCCAGGCACUCUCUUGCUUUCUAACACCAAAACCUCAAGUUUUCGGUUUAGCGAAGAUACUUCUCUGGUCAAGCACUGCUCACCCAAAAAAUUACAAGUCCUGCUGGAUGGAAAUUAAGGCAGUUUUCCACACACAGAUUUGGAAGACUGGCUUCACAGCUAAUGAGAGAGCUACGAGCCAACAGCCUCUGCAGAGCCCUAAGGACAGGUCUUCAUCCACCCUAAGUAUCCUUACUCUCUAGUCCUGUGGAUCUCCAGAACAGAGGCUGUCAGUCAUGCUGAAGUACACCAAGCUGCCUGGAAGCUGUGACAUGGAAAACCUUCUUUCUGCAGGGCACAGAGGCACCACACACAGGAGUUCAGCGUUCAGAGAUCCGCUAUCAGUGCAAGUAUUGUCUUCUAACCCCACUUGUUGCUGGGCUUGAGAAGGUACAAUUCCAAAGUGCCACUGGGCUACAUAGAAGAAAUCAGGACACUGUAUAACUAUGCAGGACCAUUAUUUUGCUACUGGGAUACAAGUGUUGCUUGGCCAUGGGCAGUCGGAAAGCAGUUUGUGAGCUUGGACUAACAGUGACACUGCUCUUCUACCCUCGAGUGCCUGAUGUUUUCUGCUCAGAGUAACAGCUUCUCCAGGCAGGUAUAAAGUCUACCUGGACUGAUCAGAGGUGGAGUAGAUAGAAGAGAAAUGAAUUUUAUCUCAGACUUCAGAUCAGUCAGUUGUUUGAGACACAGUUUAAAAAAGAAAAAAAGCCAUCAGAUUCACAUCAGAAUUGUCAAAGCCAUGGAUUACCUUUGUCGACCCACGUCUAACACAAUUUCUUUUUUCCUUGUCUUUCCAUGACAUGGAGAAACUGGCAGCAGCUUUGGAAACUUAACUCUGACCUUUCCCAAAGUUUGGCUUGAGAGACUCUGAAAACUUGGUCUGAGCUCAGAGAUGUACAGAAGAGCACAAAAAUCUGUGCACAUUUACCUGGGUAUCACUCGUACUCCUCACUCACACUGCUACAGCAUCAGCACUCUUUCACACUAUGCUGCCUAAGUUCAGUACGGAGAUGGACCUCACUUCCAAAGCAACUUAGUCUGCAAGUAAGUAUAUAGCGUGUGACAUUUCCAAAAUCACCUUUUUAUUGACGCUGAAGUUAUUUUUGGCUGGGGAAGGAAAGUUUUUCCUUCCUCCCCCUUUUUUUCCAAGCACACAAGAUUACGGUAUGUCUGUACAGUAAUCUAAUGCCCCGUGGGCAAUUCUGUACCUUGCCCAGACGUUUCUGAGUAAAAUUAGGAUGACAGGCUCCACGUUUGUGUCUUUCGGAAAAAAAAAAAAAAACCAACCAACCACCCCUCUGGUAAAAGGCUGCUAAAAGCGAUUAUUUAAUAAGCGGGGAUUAAAGGACCUAGUAAGGCGGUAAGGCUACCCAAUUUUCAAAAAUGUUACGGUUUUUUUUUCCUCUCGCUUGUGACCCAUCAAACAGAACGAACCGUGAUAAGGAAACAUCCACAAACGGCUGGAAAGGGGGCGAAUGAGCUCCCGGGGAGGAUCGGGGGUACCUGUCCCAAACGCGCCUGGCCAUCACACACCGCCCCGCGAUCCCGGGCUCACCCCGUUAUCCAGGACCCGCAUCAGCGGGAAAAGCGAGGGAAGCCCCUUCUCCCCCCACCGCUAACACCGACACGGCAUCCGGGGGGUCCCCACAGCCCGUCCCCUUCGCUGCCCCCUCGUUUCCCACUCCCCGCGGACACCUUCCCUGGGGCUCUGCGCCUGGAGACAGCGCAGGGGAGGGGCGAGGGGAGACCUGGCCGCCCCGCGGGCACACGGCUCGCCUCGAGGAGGUGCGGAGGGGGGCCCCGAGCCGUCCGACAGCCGCCUGCUGUCCGGGCCGCGCUGCCGGCCGGGCCCCGCGCCCCAGCGCUCACCUUGUACUUCAUGGCUGC